AAAGUGGAUGGAUUGGAUGAAUAUGGAUUGGAUUGCUCAUGAAUGGAUCAAAACAAUCCAUUAAUCCAUUAACAACUCAUUAAAGCUUCCUUAAAAAUAUCAAAUCUAAUCCAUCCAUUAAUAAAAAAAAUCCAUCCAAUCCAUCCGUUAACAUUUUUUUAACGGAUGGAUAUCCAUCCAUCCAAAAAUAAUAAUUAAAUUAUUUUAUUUAAUUUUUUUAAUAAUACAUAUUUUUAAUUUUUAAUUUUG
rnacentral:lncRNA from 1 species